rnacentral:rRNA from 1 species
AACGAACGCUGGCUGCAUGCCUAACACAUGCAAGUCGAACGACACCUUCGGGUCUAGUGGCGCACGGGUGCGUAACGCGUGGGAACCUGCCCUUAGGUUCGGAAUAACUCCCCGAAAGGGGUGCUAAUACCGGCUAAUGUCUUCGGACCAAAGAUUUAUCGCCUUUGGAUGGGCCCGCGUUGGAUUAGCUAGUUGGUAGGGUAAAAGCCUACCAAGGCGACGAUCCAUAGCUGGUCUGAGAGGAUGAGCAGCCACACUGGAACUAAGACACGGCCCAGACUCCUACGGGAGGCAGGAGUGGGGAAUAUUGGGAGAGGGGCGGGAGGCUGAUCUGGCAAGGGAGUGUGAGUGAUGAAGGAAGUAGGGUUGUAGAGUUGUUUUACCCGGGAGGAGAAUGACAGUACCGGGAGAAUAAGCCACGGCUAACUACGUG